rnacentral:rRNA from 1 species
AUACGUAGGGUGCAAGCGUUAAUCGGAAUUACUGGGCGUAAAGCGUGCGCAGGCGGUUUUGUAAGACAGAGGUGAAAUCCCCGGGCUCAACCUGGGAACUGCCUUUGUGAAUGCAAGGCUAGAGUACGGCAGAGGGGGAUGGAAUUCCGCGUGUAGCAGUGAAAUGCGUAGAUAUGCGGAGGAACACCGAUGGCGAAGGCAAUCCCCUGGGCUGCUACGGACGCUCAUGCCCUAGCGUGUAGGGAGCAACCAGGAUUAGAUACCCUGGUAGUCCGCGCCCUAAACGAUGUCCACUGGUUGCUGGGUCUUCAGUGACUCAGUAACGAAGCUAACGCAUGAAGUUGACCGCCUGGGGAGUACGGCCGCAAGGUUGAAACUUAAAGGAAUUGACGGGG